AACGGAGGGUGCGAGCGUUGUUCGGAAUUACUGGGCGUAAAGCGCGUGCAGGUGGUCUUUUAAGUUUCGUGUGAAAUCCCCCGGCUUAACCGGGGAACGGCGCGGAAAACUGGAAGACUUGAAUACGGGAGAAGGGGGCGGGAUUCCCAGUGUAGAGGUGAAAUUCGUAGAUAUUGGGAGGAACACCGGUGGCGAAAGCGGCUCUCUAGACCGAUAUUGACGCUCAUACGCGAGAGCGUGGGUAGCAAACAGG
rnacentral:rRNA from 1 species